CCGCCUUCUAAAUGCAGCUUGAUUGUGAUUCAUGGCAAAAAGCUGGAGUAACCCUGCCAGGUCUUAGAAGCUUUAAGAUACAUUGCAUUGAACUUGAUAUAUAUAAAACAGCACCUUGAAAAUGAAUCAUCUGCUAAUUCAGUAUUUUCUAAUUAAAAUCACUCCCUCUCAGGUCAUGUAAUUAAUUUACUGAGUUUAAAAAAAAAAAGUCAGGAUUACUCACACAGUCUUGAAGAUGCAAUGUCAGCUAUUUAGGAUAGAAACAUCCAAGGCCGUGUUAGAACUCAAUUAUGAUUACAUAUGCGUUAAAGCAGGAGCUGGCAGGCCUCUGGACUACGGCAACUAUAGGACUCGUGCUUCUCCUACGCUGGGCUAUAAUUUAUGAAACUGAGCCUCAGACCCAGCCAAUCACUUAGCUCCUCAUAACAAGUCUAACUGGCUCUGGAAAGCUGAAAGGGCUGCACUAGAACAACACAGAUGAGAUAGUCCACACAAUAAUCUGCUUAUCUGGACUCACUUUCCCUCACAAGGCCAGAGAAAAAUCACAGCUUCAUUGUCUGAGGACAGGGCAGAUGACCUGGGGAAAACACGACUGUACCUGGAGCAAGAUCUUUUCUGGCUUGGCGAUCCCAACCGUGCCGGCAUUAAAGGACCAAGUUACCCCUGGAAACCAAAGGGCAACGACAGCAGCAAAAACCUGAGUGCUCUUGCCUACGGUGACUAUGUGAGAACUGAAACUUCUGAGGAAGCCAGGGUGUUAAAACUGUUGUUCACUUUACUCAAAGAUAACAUGGAUAAUCUAGUCUGAAAUGGAAAACGAGCCCUUAAGGUGACAUGGAUAAAUAGCCCCAUUAUUUUUGCAACGCUGGACUCUGCGUAAUGAAGCCCUGGAUCUCAGGACCAGCUCACUGAAAAUGAAUCCAAAAGAAACGAAUACCUUCUUCCCAGGAUGUAAGUGACUCCGUUUAGAAAUAAUUAAGGUUUACCUUACACAAUACUACAUUAAGAAAAAUACCUAAUUCCAUAGAUUAUCCAAAACGAUAUCAGACUCAGUACUAAGCACCUACAAAGAACUCAGUAAAUACAUGCUAACUAAUUUAUAUUCAUUAGGAUAAUAAUGGUGAUAAUAACAUGCAUUUCUAAGGAAUGUUUGCUUUUUUUCAAAAUACUUUCACAAAUACUUUAAAUAAACCUCUAAACCCCAUGGACGACUGAGAAGGGGCUUUGCGAACAUAUAUAUGAAGGUUUAUACCCUGGCUUAGCCACUCGUUAGCCAUGUGACCUUGGGCAGGUUACUGAAGGGAUCUGAACAUCUGCUUUCUCAAUUGUAAAACCUAAAUGAUCAUUAUUCCUGCCUUGCAGAGUGGAUGAGGGACAUAAAGAUAGCACAUGCCAGAGGCACAGCGGAGUACCUGACACAAGGCAAGCACUUAGAAAUGGAAAUUUUUGUUAUUAUAGAGAAGGACUGAUAUAAUUAUCCCCUCUGACAACUGAGGCAGCCGAGGCUAAGAGACAUUAAACGAGCUGACAAGUCACUACAGCCAGUCAAGGCCAGAGCUAGGACCAGAACCCAGGCUUCCAACCCACCCAAGGAAAGAGUUUUCUGCUCUAUUUCAAAACCGAAGUGUGAAAAGUAGAAUUAUUGCCAAAACAGGGGCGUUGAAUGCUGAAUCUUGAAAACAGUUGAUCCAUGCUUUCAGGAGCAAAUAAGGCAAUUAAAAUAAAACUCUGCCUCCUUGCUAGUGUUGUCAACAGGAAGCAGAUUUAAUUCAGAAGAACCUCUCUUAUUUUGACCCAGGCAAAACUUUCUAAGGAUUUGAUGAGUUUUUAUCUUGACCAUCACUUGUAUCUUUCUUCCAACCUGCUUUCCAACAUUCAGUAAUCUUGACAUUUUGGUGUGGGUCACCUGCCCUUCAUCUAGUAAAUGUAAUUUUUGCAGAAAAACAGACCCAAAAGUAAGAGAAGGUUGCCAUCGCAGCAAUGCUGUAGAGGACACCUCGUUAAAAUGUCAUUUAAAAUACGUAGCUCAUCCCUCCAAAGCAGGAAUAAAGGCCUUUUUAGGACCUCUGAUACAUGCCAGGCAGAACUUUUUUUAUCUUCAUUUUCUCAGUUCUAGAACAUAGUUGAGAUGUCUUCUUCUUGGAACUGCUUUAUAAUAAGUUACUACAUAUAGCAUUAUUGACAAUAAUUUGAGAUCUGCCUCCUAAGGUUAGGAAAUUUUCAGAACCUUAGAAUAAGAACAAAAAAUCGAUGAUGUUCUCUGCAGCAAGCCUCAGUGAGCUUCUGUGAAAUCAUUAAAAUAAGCUACUAAAGUUGAGUAGCACUCACGCCUCCAUAUCUUUUUGAUGAUAUAGACUAUCUGGAGUACAGAUAGUCAUACUAGUAUCAGUAUAAACCCUACGGAAUGAAAAUGGGAAAAAAAUAGAGUUAGAGAACCCAGGACACUCCCUCCCCCAUUACCUGGUAGAAAACAAGCGAACACAUGUCAUGAUCUAUAGACAGGAUAUUCUACCUACUAAAAGAACCCCAACAUUGUAAAUAUUUAUUUGACACCCUGCUCGGUGUGUAAUUUGCCAACUGUUCCAAGUUGUGAGUAAAUUCUUUUUCCAUGUCUUUAUUCUUGGCUUUAUUUACUUUGUCUUUCUUUUGUCAUUUUGCUUUUUAUUCU